GACGAACCGUGCGAACGUUGUUCGGAAUCACUGGGCUUAAAGGGCGCGCAGGCGGCUACGCACGUCCGUUGUGAAAUCGCUCGGCUCAACUGGGCGGGGUCAGCGGAUACGGCGUAGCUGGAGCAAGCUAGGGGGCAAUGGAAUUCCCGGUGUAGUGGUGGAAUGCGUAGAUAUCGGGAGGAACACCAGUGGCGAAGGCGGUUGCCUGGAGCUUUGCUGACGCUGAGGCGCGAAAGCGUGGGGAGCGAUCCGG
rnacentral:rRNA from 1 species